AAAUUGAAGAGUUUGAUCAUGGCUCAGAUUGAACGCUGGCGGCAGGCCUAACACAUGCAAGUCGGGCGGUAGCACAGAGAGCUUGCUCUCGGGUGACGAGCGGCGGACGGGUGAGUAAUGUCUGGGAAACUGCCUGAUGGAGGGGGAUAACUACUGGAAACGGUAGCUAAUACCGCAUAACGUCGCAAGACCAAAGAGGGGGACCUUCGGGCCUCUUGCCAUCAGAUGUGCCCAGAUGGGAUUAGCUAGUAGGUGGGGUAACGGCUCACCUAGGCGACGAUCCCUAGCUGGUCUGAGAGGAUGACCAGCCACACUGGAACUGAGACACGGUCCAGACUCCUACGGGAGGCAGCAGUGGGGAAUAUUGCACAAUGGGCGCAAGCCUGAUGCAGCCAUGCCGCGUGUAUGAAGAAGGCCUUCGGGUUGUAAAGUACUUUCAGCGGGGAGGAAGGUGUUGAGGUUAAUAACCUCAGCAAUUGACGUUACCCGCAGAAGAAGCACCGGCUAACUCCGUGCCAGCAGCCGCGGUAAUACGGAGGGUGCAAGCGUUAAUCGGAAUUACUGGGCGUAAAGCGCACGCAGGCGGUCUGUCAAGUCGGAUGUGAAAUCCCCGGGCUCAACCUGGGAACUGCAUUCGAAACUGGCAGGCUAGAGUCUUGUAGAGGGGGGUAGAAUUCCAGGUGUAGCGGUGAAAUGCGUAGAGAUCUGGAGGAAUACCGGUGGCGAAGGCGGCCCCCUGGACAAAGACUGACGCUCAGGUGCGAAAGCGUGGGGAGCAAACAGGAUUAGAUACCCUGGUAGUCCACGCCGUAAACGAUGUCGACUUGGAGGUUGUGCCCUUGAGGCGUGGCUUCCGGAGCUAACGCGUUAAGUCGACCGCCUGGGGAGUACGGCCGCAAGGUUAAAACUCAAAUGAAUUGACGGGGGCCCGCACAAGCGGUGGAGCAUGUGGUUUAAUUCGAUGCAACGCGAAGAACCUUACCUACUCUUGACAUCCAGAGAACUUUCCAGAGAUGGACUGGUGCCUUCGGGAACUCUGAGACAGGUGCUGCAUGGCUGUCGUCAGCUCGUGUUGUGAAAUGUUGGGUUAAGUCCCGCAACGAGCGCAACCCUUAUCCUUUGUUGCCAGCGGUUAGGCCGGGAACUCAAAGGAGACUGCCAGUGAUAAACUGGAGGAAGGUGGGGAUGACGUCAAGUCAUCAUGGCCCUUACGAGUAGGGCUACACACGUGCUACAAUGGCGCAUACAAAGAGAAGCGACCUCGCGAGAGCAAGCGGACCUCAUAAAGUGCGUCGUAGUCCGGAUUGGAGUCUGCAACUCGACUCCAUGAAGUCGGAAUCGCUAGUAAUCGUAGAUCAGAAUGCUACGGUGAAUACGUUCCCGGGCCUUGUACACACCGCCCGUCACACCAUGGGAGUGGGUUGCAAAAGAAGUAGGUAGCUUAACCUUCGGGAGGGCGCUUACCACUUUGUGAUUCAUGACUGGGGUGAAGUCGUAACAAGGUAACCGUAGGGGAACCUGCGGUUGGAUCACCUCCUUACCUUAAAGAA
rnacentral:rRNA from 1 species